rnacentral:lncRNA from 1 species
ACACCAUAAUCUUAUCCUCCUACUUUUCUACUCUUUGCAUCUCCAUUAUAAUAAAAAUGAUGUAUAGCGAUAUUUUAAAAUAUUGGCUUAUGUCAAAAAAAGUGCAGCGAAUAAAUUACCGAUACUUUUUAAAAGUGAUGCUAUAUGUGGGGUCGCUAUCACUACAACAAAAACGGUUUAUAGCGACACUUUUAAAUGUAGGUACAUGUCAAAAAAGUGCUGCUAGCUAAAAUUACCGACACUUUUAAAAAGUGUUGCUAUAUGUGGGGUCGCUAGGUAUAUAGUGACAGUUAAAGAGUGUCGCUAUAACCUAAAAGAAUGCUGCUAAUUUACCAACACUUAUUUAAGCAUUUAGCAACCGCCGAAAUUCUAUCUCGUUGGCUGCGGUGGCGGAGGAGGACGACAGUAAAGGCUAUUCGUCUAGAAUUUCAGUGGAUUGAGUGAAGAGAGAAGAAAAGAUGGUAAUUGAUUUUUCUUUUUUUUUUCUUUUCUGUUUGUAAUCGGGCCAAAUGGACUAGGUGUGGUGGGUUGAGUAGAGUAAUCUUUUAUUUUUUGUUGGAUUGGGCUUUAUAUUUAGGCAUUAGUAGAUGUGUUUUUAAGUUUUAGCAUAAAUGAGACACUUACUCAAAAGUGUCCCAAACAUAUGUCCCUAUAAUCUAAUUCUGUUGUAGUGUAUAUGUUGGGCCGCGUUGAUGUUCGGCACUCACUUCUUCAGCAACCUAUGGUGGAAGGAUACAUGGCGAUCGUAUCCCUCUACGAUCCCUAUAAGAUCCUCGCGGCCAAACUCCAGCAACCGGAACGUUACCUCGUUGGCUACGGUAGUGGAGGAGAGAAGGGAAGAUGGUGAUCAAUUUUUCUUUACUUCCUUUUUUGUUUGUUAUCAGGCCGAGUGAGCUGGUGGGGUUGGUUGAGUACAAAAACUUUUUGUUUUCGAUUGAAUUGAGCUUUAUAUUUAGGCCUUAGUAGAUUUUUUUAAAAAAAUUUAGUAUAAAUAAGACACUUACACAAAAAUAUUCAAAAAAAUGUCUCUAUAACCUAAUUCUAUUGUAAUGCUCUAAUCUGCUUUACAAUAUUGUUUUUG